rnacentral:rRNA from 1 species
UACGUAGGUGGCAAGCGUUGUCCGGAUUUACUGGGCGUAAAGAGCGCGCAGGCGGUCAGAUAAGUCGAAUGUGAAAGCCCCCGGCUCAACUGGGGAGGGUCAUUCGAUACUGUUCGACUCGAAGGCAGGAGAGGGAAGCGGAAUUCCCGGUGUAGUGGUGAAAUGCGUAGAUAUCAAGUGGAACACCAGUGGCGAAGGCGAGUCCCUGGAAAACUCCUGACACUGAGGCACGAAAGCUAGGGGAGCAAACAGG